rnacentral:rRNA from 1 species
CUACGGGAGGCACCAGUGGGGAAUAUUGGACAAUGGGGGAAACCCUGAUCCAGCAAUGCCGCGUGUGUGAAGAAGGCCUGCGGGUUGUAAAGCACUUUCGGUUGGGAGGACUGCUUCUAGCACUAAUAUUGUUGGAAGUUGACGUUACCUUCAGAAGAAGCACCGGCUAACUCCGUGCCAGCAGCCGCGGUAAUACGGAGGGUGCAAGCGUGAAUCGGAAUUACUGGGCGUAAAGCGCGCGUAGGCGGCUAGAUCAGUCGGGUGUGAAAGCCCCGGGCUUAACCUGGGAACUGCAUCCGAUAAUGUCUAGCUUGAGUCCAGGAGAGGAGAGUGGAAUUCCACAUGUAGCGGUGAAAUGCGUAGCUAUGUGGAGGAACACCAAUGGCGAAGGCAGCUCUCUGGCCUGAUACUGACGCUGAGGUGCGAAAGCGUGGGGAGCAAACAGGAUUAGAUACCCUUGUAGUC